rnacentral:lncRNA from 1 species
UUUAAAAUUAAAAUUUUGAAUUUGAACUGAAAGUUUUAUUUUAAAUUUGUGUUUUAUAUUUAAAAGUUGAAUUUGAUUUAUAAUUAAGUUUUUUACGUUGCUUUGCAUUUAAAUUUACAGCUAAGUUGUAAUUUGAAUUCCAACUAUCGUUGUAGGUAUUUGAGAAUGUUAUAGUAUUCUCAGUUGAAUUAAACCGGUUUUGUAGACCAAAAUAUUUUUCUAAGACCAAAAAACUCUUUAAAUAGAUAUCUCGUGAAUAGUACCUAUGCCUGAAUAGUAGGUCGAUCGUCUCUAAAAUCAUAUUAUAUCUCAACCAUUUAUUUUAAAAAAUAAAUGGUCAAGAUUUACAUGCAUAUGGUAUAUUAAAGUAUUAUUCUUAAUUUUAUAAUCAAAAGUAUCGUUAACUAACUCAAAUCAAACAAAUGAAAAGAUAGGUAUUAAAAUCAAAAUUUUAAAUAAUUA